AGAGUUUGAUCCUGGCUCAGGAUGAACGCUGGCGGCGUGGAUUAGGCAUGCAAGUCGAACGAUCCGCAAGGAUAGUGGCAGACGAGGUAGUAUAACGCAGGUACGCACCGAGAAGUCGGGCAUAGCUAGCCGAAAGGUUAGGUAAUUCCCGAUGGUGAGGCAACUCUAAAGGAGUAAUCCGCUUCUUGAGCGGCCUGCGCAGCAUCAGCUAGUUGGUAAGGUAAUGGCUUACCAAGGCUAUGACGCUUAGGGGAGCUGAGAGGCUGACCCCCACCGAUAGCACUGAGACACGGGCUAUACAUCUACGGAUGGCUGCAGUCGAGAAUCUUCCACAAUGGACGAAAGUCUGAUGGAGCGACGCCGCGUGACUGAUGAAGUCCUUCGGGACGUAAAGGUCUUUUAUGGGGGAGGAAGUAAUUGACGUUACCCCAUGAAUAAGGGGCUCCUAACUCUGUGCCAGCAGGAGCGGUAAUACAGAGGCCCCAAGCGUUAUCCGGAAUCACUGGGCGUAAAGGGUGUGUAGGCGGCUAUGUUAGUCCUUCGUUAAAGCUUUCUGGCUUAACCAGGAAAAUGCGGAGGAAACGGCAUUGGCUUAGAGGGCGCGAGAGGUAUACGGAACUCAUAGUGUAGGGGUGAAAUCCGUUGAUAUUAUGGGGAACACCAAAUGCGAAGGCAGUAUACUGGCGCGUACCUGACGCUGAAACACGAAAGCGUGGGAAUCGAACGGGAUUAGAUACCCCAGUAGUCC
rnacentral:rRNA from 1 species